GCAAUGGGCAAGGCGCCUGAUCCAGCCAGAUAGUAAGAGUGUGAUUAACACUCAAAAGAAAAAACAAAACAAUGAUAGAAGUUUUCAUUAUAUCCUGACUAAUUUCGUGCCAGCAGUCGCGGCAAUACGUGAAGGAUAAGCGUAAUUCAUCAUCACUAGGUAUCAAGCGUCUGUAGGCGGCGUAUCGAAUGUAAGCUAGAGUCUGACUAGGAAAUUGGAAUUUAAUAAGUAAGGAUAAAAUCUUUUGAUUUAUUAAAGAAUUUUAUGCGAAGGCAUAUUUCUCUGAACGACUGACGCUAAGAGACUAAAGUGUGGGUAGCGAAAAGGA
rnacentral:rRNA from 1 species